AUGGUUUUCAAGGAACUUAAUUAUGAUAAUUGUUCGUUAAUAUAUUGUAUUUCCUUGUUGCAAUCCGUGUUGACUUCUUCUCAUUCUUAUAAUCAAAAUAAAGCUUUUACCAAACAUAUUGUUGAUGCCUUGAUGCAAUCUUAUGAGGAAAAACUUAAUUUGGAAGUUUCUAUAACUAGAAAACUUUAUGAUGAGUGGGAAAGUACUAUAAAGAUUAAAAUUAAAGAUCAUGAGUGCUAUGCUUUGUGUGAUUUAGGUGCUAGUGUUUCCACGAUUCCGAAAACUUUAUGUGAUGUGCUAGGUUUCCAUGUUUUUGAUGAUUGCUCUUUAAACUUGCACCUUGCAGAUUCCACCAUUAAUAAACCUAUGGGAAGAAUCAAUGAUGUUCUUAUUGUUGCAAAUAGGAAUUAUGUACCCAUAUAUUUUAUCGUUCCUGAUAUAGAUUGUAAUCUUUCAUGUCCUAUUAUUCUUGGUAGACCUUUCCUUAGAAUGAUUGGUGCAAUUAUUGAUAUGAAGGAAGGGAAUAUUAGAUUCUAA
rnacentral:rRNA from 1 species